AAGAGGGGGAUGAAGGCGUAGAUGGCUGUUACUCAGAGAAGCGUAGGAAAAUUUUUGGUGUGGUACUUCCGGUGGUUACAGAAUUGUUUUUUUUUUUUUUUUUGAAAAUAAAACCCCCCCCGGGGGGGGUUUUAUUUUCAAAAAAAAAAAAAAAAACAA
rnacentral:ribozyme from 1 species